rnacentral:rRNA from 1 species
UACGGAGGAUGCAAGCGUUAUCCGGAAUGAUUGGGCGUAAAGCGUCCGCAGGUGGCUAUGUAAGUCUGCUGUUAAAGAGUGAGGCUCAACCUCAUAAGAGCAGUGGAAACUACAUGGCUAGAGUGCGUUCGGGGCAGAGGGAAUUCCUGGUGUAGCGGUGAAAUGCGUAGAGAUCAGGAAGAACACCGGUGGCGAAAGCGCUCUGCUAGGCCGCAACUGACACUGAGGGACGAAAGCUAGGGGAGCGAACAGG